UCUCAUGGAAUAAAAAAUACGUUAUAUUGGGUAACUUUGAAAACCUAGAAGAUUGUGUUUUGAUGAAAUAUAUGACUUGGCGAUAUAUUAGAAUCUGGUGAAUUGAAAUAUCCCGCCAGAAGUACCGUGAAGAUUUCUGAGGUAAUGUUAAUGUGCGAUCCAUUAAGCGUGUAACGUUGAGUUAACGAUUUAGAAAUGUCAGUGAGUAAUGUUAGUUUUGCAAUUAAUAUUCGGAUAAAAUAAAAAUGCCCUCAUUUGAAUCUCUUUACCGAUGCUAUGCGACAAAGCGAAACAUACCCAUAAUUAUAAUUCAUAAUUUGAUACACACUGAUGAAGUGUUCUAAAAUGUCCUGGUAGAAGGUCCACUGUGUCAAGCAGGACCAGCCCACACUACUAAAGGUACCAAAAGCUGGUUCAAUGACCAUUUGUGUUACUGUGCUCAAAGGAAAACUUCUCAGCUGUUCUGGUCACUUAGUUGUAUUGUUCAACAAUCUUAACAAUCAUUGAAUACUGAUAUGGUUGUCUUUUUUUUCAGAAUUCUUACAAACAAAUUGAUGUCAACAAUGAAUAUGGAUGGCUCAGGGCUGAAGAAGGCCUUUGGAAAACACGGCUAUGUCGUGUUAUAAUAGGUGCACUACAGCAGUCCAAACCUUCAUUAUCAGAGGCUGAAAUAAAAAAAUACAGCUAAAAAAUCUCCGGUCUGCUCCCGAUAGAUGUGGGGGUAUGGGACGACAAAAGGGGAAAUCUGCGAUUGAUGUGUGUUCAGAUUCUGAAUAAGUAGGCCUUAAGCCAAUUGUUAAAUUAUUUUUGUUCAUUUGGGAUAUGAUCUGGGAAAACCCAUCACAUGGUGAAAUAAAAAAUACUGGUUUUAGUAUCAUAUGAAAGCUAUUAAGCCCUUUCCAAAACUGUUUUUAUUUAAUUUACAAAUUGUUUUUAUGGAGUGGGUGGUCUAGUGGGUUAAACCACUGAACUGGUAAAUCAAAAGGUUGCUGGUUCUAUCCUAGUAGCCACCACCAGUGUGUUGCUCAAGGGGGAUUGUCCCUGUAAUAAGUGCACUGUAAGUCGCUUUGGAUAAAAGCAUCUGCUAAAUAACUACACGUAAAUGUAAAUGUUUUUAACAAAUGGAAAGGGCUUGAGAGCUUUCAUAUGAUAUCAAAACCUGUAAUAUGUACAAUUUUGUCAUGUGAUGGCUUUUUCCAGAUCACUUAAUAUUUAUAUAUUAAUUUAAAUGUUAAUAUUUAAUUUAAAUGUAAUUCAAGGAGGAUUUUAUAUUUAUUAGUGGUUUAAGAACAUUUUAAAUUUCUGGAAUUGUAGCUGAUUGUAUUUAAUAAAACAUGUCUUACAUUAA